AUGAUCUUUAAGUGAAUAUGUGUCUGACAAUAAUGGUCCUAAAUUUAUAUAUCGUUGUUGCUUAAAGUCAAAAUAUGGUAAAAUGCUUAAAUUAUUUUGCAGGUCGCGUAAGCAAAAAGACAUUUGCGACGUGUGCGGUAGAUUUAUUGGCGAAAAAAGUCGUUAGUUAGGCUUUGUUCUUGAAACAUUCCUGUGUAACGGUACAUUUCAUUUGAUUUACCGGAGGCUGUUUCAAGGCUAUCAGUCGGAUGUUAGUAUAUGUGGAACACGUUACCGUUAAGUUUAAGACUGUGAGUGAGCGUAGUCUAUCUCCAAGGGGCAAGGAUGUGGAAGCUGAGCAAAGGUCAAAUAAGCGCAAGCGCAGAUUCUUAGAGAGUUAGAAAGAGUAGGACAGUAUGAGUAGUCAGUAUGAAAUACUACGGCGUAGAGUGUAUAACUUGAGUCGGCACUGUAGAGUGUAAAGCUGUACUUCUGAAGUAUCUCAGAUUCAGAAUUCUUCAUUCAUUAAUCUUAUCUUUGUUGCAGGUUCAAUUGAAAAUUGUGGUACAGUUUCUCCGAUUUCCAUGGAAACUACUCGGUGAAGAAAAUAUAGUGUAAUCAGUGCGAUAUGUUGUCUAGUGCCUAUGUAAAUACAUCUGCGUUUUCGGUGUUCCAUCGGUUCUAUAUGAAAAAUUGACAUGAUAAUCGGAAUGAUCGUUUUCCGAAGCCACUAUCUGUAAUAUAAAAUAAUGAGAAUAAUAAAGUUUAUUUAUCUUUUA
rnacentral:lncRNA from 1 species